rnacentral:rRNA from 1 species
GACGAACGCUGGCGGCGUGCUUAACACAUGCAAGUCGAACGAUGAAGUUCCUUCGGGGAUGGAUUAGUGGCGAACGGGUGAGGAACACGUGAAGAAUCUGCCCUCCACUUUGGGAUAACUCCGGGAAACCGGGGCUAAUACCGAAUAUUGAAACAUAAGUGGCAUCACUGAGUUUUGAAAGAAUUUCGGUGGAGGAUGACUUCGCGGCCUAUCAGCUUGUUGGUGAGGUAAUGGCUCACCAAGGCGACGACGGGUAGCCGGCCUGAGAGGGCGGCCGGCCACACUGGGACUGAGACACGGCCCAGACUCCUACGGGAGGCAGCAGUGGGGAAUAUUGGGCAAUGGACGAAAGUCUGACCCAGCGACGCCGCGUGCGGGAUGAAGGCCUUCGGGUUGUAAACCGCUUUCAGCAGGGAAGAAGCGAAAGUGACGGUACCUGCAAAAGAAGCACCGGCUAACUAUGUGCCAGCAGCCGCGGUAAUACAUAGGGUGCAAGCGUUGUCCGGAAUUAUUGGGCGUAAAGAGCUCGUAGGUCGUUAAUUACGUCGGGUGUGAAAAUCUGGGGCUCAACCCCAGACCUGCACUCGAUACGGGUUAGCUAGAGUUUGGUAGGGGAGACUGGAAUUCCUGGUGUAGCGGUGGAAUGCGCAGAUAUCAGGAGGAACACCAAUGGCGAAGGCAGGUCUCUGGGCCAAUACUGACACUGAGGAGCGAAAGCGCGGGGAGCGAACAGGAUUAGAUACCCUGGUAGUCCGCGCCGUAAACGGUGGGCGCUAGUUGUGGGAACCUUCCACGGUUUCUGCGACGCAGCU